rnacentral:rRNA from 1 species
GAACGCUAGCUACAGGCUUAACACAUGCAAGUCGAGGGGCAGCAUGGUCUUAGCUUGCUAAGGCCGAUGGCGACCGGCGCACGGGUGAGUAACACGUAUCCAACCUGCCGUCUACUCUUGGACAGCCUUCCGAAAGGAAGAUUAAUACAAGAUGGCAUCAUGAGUCCACAUGUUCACAUGAUUAAAGGUAUUCCGGUAGACGAUGGGGAUGCGUUCCAUUAGAUAGUAGGCGGGGUAACGGCCCACCUAGUCUUCGAUGGAUAGGGGUUCUGAGAGGAAGGUCCCCCACAUUGGAACUGAGACACGGUCCAAACUCCUACGGGAGGCAGCAGUGAGGAAUAUUGGUCAAUGGGCGAGAGCCUGAACCAGCCAAGUAGCGUGAAGGAUGACUGCCCUAUGGGUUGUAAACUUCUUUUAUAAAGGAAUAAAGUCGGGUAUGCAUACCCGUUUGCAUGUACUUUAUGAAUAAGGAUCGGCUAACUCCGUGCCAGCAGCCGCGGUAAUACGGAGGAUCCGAGCGUUAUCCGGAUUUAUUGGGUUUAAAGGGAGCGUAGAUGGAUGUUUAAGUCAGUUGUGAAAGUUUGCGGCUCAACCGUAAAAUUGCAGUUGAUACUGGAUAUCUUGAGUGCAGUUGAGGCAGGCGGAAUUCGUGGUGUAGCGGUGAAAUGCUUAGAUAUCACGAAGAACUCCGAUUGCGAAGGCAGCCUGCUAAGCUGCAACUGACAUUGAGGCUCGAAAGUGUGGGUAUCAAACAGGAUUAGAUACCCUGGUAGUCCACACGGUAAACGAUGAAUACUCGCUGUUUGCGAUAUACAGCAAGCGGCCAAGCGAAAGCGUUAAGUAUUCCACCUGGGGAGUACGCCGGCAACGGUGAAACUCAAAGGAAUUGACGGGGGCCCGCACAAGCGGAGGAACAUGUGGUUUAAUUCGAUGAUACGCGAGGAACCUUACCCGGGCUUAAAUUGCAGAUGAAUUACGGUGAAAGCCGUAAGCCGCAAGGCAUCUGUGAAGGUGCUGCAUGGUUGUCGUCAGCUCGUGCCGUGAGGUGUCGGCUUAAGUGCCAUAACGAGCGCAACCCUUGUUGUCAGUUACUAACAGGUCAUGCUGAGGACUCUGACAAGACUGCCAUCGUAAGAUGUGAGGAAGGUGGGGAUGACGUCAAAUCAGCACGGCCCUUACGUCCGGGGCUACACACGUGUUACAAUGGGGGGUACAGAGGGCCGCUACCACGCGAGUGGAUGCCAAUCCCAAAAACCUCUCUCAGUUCGGACUGGAGUCUGCAACCCGACUCCACGAAGCUGGAUUCGCUAGUAAUCGCGCAUCAGCCACGGCGCGGUGAAUACGUUCCCGGGCCUUGUACACACCGCCCGUCAAGCCAUGGGAGCCGGGGGUACCUGAAGUGCGUAACCGCGAGGAGCGCCCUAGGGUAAAACUGGUGA